GGAGAAGUACUCAAGUGGCCGAAGAGGCGUGACUCGAAAUCUCGUAGGGCGUGAAAGCGUCGCGUGGGUUCAAAUCCCACCUUCUCCGCCA
rnacentral:tRNA from 2 species